UUUUGAGUGAUGAUGUGACCCUUAGGAUGUUUUCUUUCAUAUUCUUGUAGGUCAUGUGAUUCACAUCGUUCAUGUUGGUCCCCAGGUCAGGCUCACCUCACUGCCAUUCUGAGUCCUAAGAAAGAGGACUGCUAUCAUAGUAUAACGUAUGCUGGACAGGACUUCAGGAGAUUGUUGGUCAUGUCAAACUACCACAAAAACUCCUGAAUCUUCCGUGCCGGGAGACAUACAGACACAGACAGACAGAAAAACAAACCCCUAAAACCAACCCUGAACUUCCUAACUGAGAAGCCCCAGCGCUCUAAAUGCCAAGCGCACCAGCUCUUCUUUCCCACAAGAGGGAGCUCCGUGGUCAGUUCGGUGCUCGUUCUGCUUCUGCUGGAAAGGCUCGGCGAGCCAGCAGAGGGUGCGUGCUGGAUACUCCUGUUUAGCGCCCUCAGCACAGCACUCUGUUAGAAAUCACGGAUACGUGCCUGCCCCUAUAGCCUUAAUGGAAUUUUGUACCCUCUUAAAAUGAAUGCGUAAAGGAACAGCAACAAGUCAGAGGCCACUUGAAUGGUCACCAGAAUUUCUGAUGUUGUACCUCAAUAAAUACAGAGGGUGCAGUUGUUUAAUAGUAUUUGCCACAAGGUAAUUGUGCAUACAGAAAGGCCUCCUAUGAUGCACUAGAAUUCUUGCUGCAUCCGGAAAUGGCACAGAUAUGAGAAAAGUGAGCCCAAACAGAAAACACCCCAGAAAUAAUUUUAAAAACCAUCCCAAUAACAAC
rnacentral:lncRNA from 1 species